rnacentral:rRNA from 1 species
UACGGAGGGGGCGAGCGUUGUUCGGAAUUACUGGGCGUAAAGGGCGCGUAGGCGGCCCAUCAAGUUAGGCGUGAAGGCCCCGGGCUCAACCUGGGAAUUGCGUUUAAGACUGGUGAGCUAGAGGACAGGAGAGGAAAGUGGAAUUCCUAGUGUAGCGGUGAAAUGCGUAGAUAUUAGGAGGAACACCAGUGGCGAAGGCGACUUUCUGGACUGUAACUGACGCUGAGGCGCGAAAGCGUGGGGAGCAAACAGGAUUAGAAACCCUAGUAGU